rnacentral:rRNA from 1 species
AGCGAACGCUGGCGGCAGGCUUAACACAUGCAAGUCGAGCGGGCACUUCGGUGUCAGCGGCAGACGGGUGAGUAACACGUGGGAACGUACCCUUUGGUUCGGAAUAACGCUGGGAAACUAGCGCUAAUACCGGAUACGCCCUUUUGGGGAAAGGCUUGCUGCCGAAGGAUCUGCCCGCGUCUGAUUAGCUAGUUGGUGGGGUAAUGGCCUACCAAGGCGACGAUCAGUAGCUGGUCUGAGAGGAUGAUCAGCCACACUGGGACUGAGACACGGCCCAGACUCCUACGGGAGGCAGCAGUGGGGAAUAUUGGACAAUGGGCGCAAGCCUGAUCCAGCCAUGCCGCGUGAGUGAUGAAGGCCUUAGGGUUGUAAAGCUCUUUUGUCCGGGACGAUAAUGACGGUACCGGAAGAAUAAGCCCCGGCUAACUUCGUG